AAAUUGAAGAGUUUGAUCAUGGCUCAGAUUGAACGCUGGCGGCAGGCCUAACACAUGCAAGUCGAACGGUAACAGGAAGCAGCUUGCUGCUUUGCUGACGAGUGGCGGACGGGUGAGUAAUGUCUGGGAAACUGCCUGAUGGAGGGGGAUAACUACUGGAAACGGUGGCUAAUACCGCAUAACGUCGCAAGACCAAAGAGGGGGACCUUCGGGCCUCUUGCCAUCAGAUGUGCCCAGAUGGGAUUAGCUUGUUGGUGAGGUAACGGCUCACCAAGGCGACGAUCCCUAGCUGGUCUGAGAGGAUGACCAGCCACACUGGAACUGAGACACGGUCCAGACUCCUACGGGAGGCAGCAGUGGGGAAUAUUGCACAAUGGGCGCAAGCCUGAUGCAGCCAUGCCGCGUGUAUGAAGAAGGCCUUCGGGUUGUAAAGUACUUUCAGCGGGGAGGAAGGUGUUGUGGUUAAUAACCGCAGCAAUUGACGUUACCCGCAGAAGAAGCACCGGCUAACUCCGUGCCAGCAGCCGCGGUAAUACGGAGGGUGCAAGCGUUAAUCGGAAUUACUGGGCGUAAAGCGCACGCAGGCGGUCUGUCAAGUCGGAUGUGAAAUCCCCGGGCUCAACCUGGGAACUGCAUUCGAAACUGGCAGGCUUGAGUCUUGUAGAGGGGGGUAGAAUUCCAGGUGUAGCGGUGAAAUGCGUAGAGAUCUGGAGGAAUACCGGUGGCGAAGGCGGCCCCCUGGACAAAGACUGACGCUCAGGUGCGAAAGCGUGGGGAGCAAACAGGAUUAGAUACCCUGGUAGUCCACGCCGUAAACGAUGUCUACUUGGAGGUUGUGCCCUUGAGGCGUGGCUUCCGGAGCUAACGCGUUAAGUAGACCGCCUGGGGAGUACGGCCGCAAGGUUAAAACUCAAAUGAAUUGACGGGGGCCCGCACAAGCGGUGGAGCAUGUGGUUUAAUUCGAUGCAACGCGAAGAACCUUACCUGGUCUUGACAUCCACGGAAGUUUUCAGAGAUGAGAAUGUGCCUUCGGGAACCGUGAGACAGGUGCUGCAUGGCUGUCGUCAGCUCGUGUUGUGAAAUGUUGGGUUAAGUCCCGCAACGAGCGCAACCCUUAUCCUUUGUUGCCAGCGAUUCGGUCGGGAACUCAAAGGAGACUGCCAGUGAUAAACUGGAGGAAGGUGGGGAUGACGUCAAGUCAUCAUGGCCCUUACGACCAGGGCUACACACGUGCUACAAUGGCGCAUACAAAGAGAAGCGACCUCGCGAGAGCAAGCGGACCUCAUAAAGUGCGUCGUAGUCCGGAUUGGAGUCUGCAACUCGACUCCAUGAAGUCGGAAUCGCUAGUAAUCGUGGAUCAGAAUGCCACGGUGAAUACGUUCCCGGGCCUUGUACACACCGCCCGUCACACCAUGGGAGUGGGUUGCAAAAGAAGUAGGUAGCUUAACCUUCGGGAGGGCGCUUACCACUUUGUGAUUCAUGACUGGGGUGAAGUCGUAACAAGGUAACCGUAGGGGAACCUGC
rnacentral:rRNA from 1 species